GUGCUCACUUUGGCAGCACAUAUACUAAAAUUAUAAUGAUACAGAGAAGAUUAGCAUGGCCCCUGUGCAAGGAUGACAUGCAAAUCCAUGAAGUGUUUCAUAUUUUU
ensembl:snRNA U6 U6 spliceosomal RNA